CGGCGCGGCCCGGCCGGUGCGGCGAGCGGGGGAGCCUGACCUGCAGCUGCUGUAAAUCAAAGCGCUUCCAAUAUUGAAACAUCGAUCCCACAUUGGCCGCCAUCUUGAGACAUAUUGAGACAGAAUGAAAGAGGCUGGAGUUCCUGUCUUCACCCUUUCUCCGCUGCCUCCCUGUUCUACCAGUCUGUUCUGUGUCCAGGCAACUGCAAAAAGACAUUUCAAAGGCUCCUGCCGUGCCAUGUAGAUGUUUUCUCUUGUUAGUUUGGACUGCAGGUGUGUAAGCCUCAAGGAUGAAGUAUCGUGGUGCUGUUUUAGGUUCGGGGCACACAGUCAUGGCACAAUAAAUCACACAGGAACGCUCCGCUUUGAACGCGCGCGCACAGAAAAGGGAAAAGAAAAAAGCAUCUGACCUGAAUCAUUUUCUGGAAACACAUCUGGUUAAAAUCCAAAGUUUUAAAUUGAGUAAUAUUUUAAAAUACAUUUGGAUCAAGUCCCUCGUUUGCCAUUUUGUGUGGCAGCAAGCCCAAGGAAAUCUUGCUUGACAGCUCUGUUUUCUCAAAGUGCUGCAUUUCUUCGGGCUGGAUUCUGCAAAGAUCCUGCAGGCUACAGAGCUCCUUGGAGCAAGUGAUAAUGUGCUUUGUGUUCCUGCUGAAAUGUACCUGUGUACAAUGGGAAAGAGAGCUUGGAAAACUGGGUGCAACCCUGUCAAGAAGGUGGUUAGAAUAAAGUUUUAUUGGGUUAUUGUGUUUUGAGGAAUCAUUCUCAUCUGUUCGUUUGAGGAAGGUUUUUCUAAAGUUAGAUUUGAUCUGUGUAAAUGCUAACUUCUUCCAAUGGGCACUAAUAGAGCACUGAAAAAGGAAGCACAGUGGAUUUGAAGUUUAAAUCUCAAAUGGCGGCAGCAGCUAGUACUGCUUGAUACAUCCAAAAUAAUUUUAAGUAUGUUGUACAGAUUUCUUUUGGGGAAUUGGGUGAAAAGCACAUUAAAAUUUGUUGCUUAUUAAUAUAAUAAAAUCUCACUGAAACAGCUCUUUAAUUAACAUAUUUGCACUUUGGACUAUCACAGAAAAUUAUUCUUGUGAUUUUAAUGUCAUCUUCUGGAACACUGAGGAAAAUGGAUCUUUAUUCCAAAGGUCCCAAACUGUUGGGAACAGUUCCCUAGCAUGGCUGCUCCCCUGGGCAUCAGUCUGCAUUCAUGAGGAUAUUUUGGACAAUGAGUCCAGUAUUGAUCACUGGACUUGGGCUUCUCUUUGCCUUAAUGAACCUGGUUGAUUUUCUUGGCCAGGGCACUGAAAGAUGAGGUGCUGCUUCUCCCAGCACCUGUAACUUUUGGGUCUCUUCUCCAAGGAUUCUUGUGGUUUUUUUUCUUCUCAUUUUCAUGUAAACUGACUCCCAAAUUUAUAUCAGUGCCCUAAAAGAAUUCCUCCAGAGCCUUCUCUGUACCUCUGUCUGCUCCUUGUCCAGCCCCUUCCCUCCCCACUUCAUGGCUCUCAUCUUUCCAUUUCCUUCAGCUGAUUCUUGUCCCUGGUUCUUGUGCCUGCUGGAAAGGAGCUCCUCAUUCCAAAAUCCCAGCCCUCUCCACUGUGGAAGUGCCCUUCUGUUCCCCUUAAACUGGAUUUGGGAUAUCCUUUACUGCUCUGUGCCAUUGCACAGCAGGAUUCCACAGGGAUGGCAGGGAACAGAGACAGCCAAACAGAUAAUUUAUGUUCCUGGGAGAUUUAGUCCAAAUUAAGAUCAAAACUCAUAUAUGUCUUCCAAAUCACCGAUUUUUUUUCCCCCAAUUAUUGUCAAUGACUCUAAUUCUGCUUGAUUUAUAUCCCUGCUAGUAGCCAGAGGUUUUGCAGCACAUAAAUUGCCUGAGGGUUUGGCCAGUGAUGUGGAUGCUGUGACAUGUAGAAGCUCAGGAAAGCCCCUGAGCAGAAAAUGGUUGGAAACAGGGAAAAUAGCAGGGAGAAGUGUCCCCCAUGCCUGCACACGAUUACCUGGGUGUCCAGCUGUGGUCAUUCAGCUGGAUGGACCCCUGUUUUCUCAACCAACAUGGCAGUUCCCACAUUCUUUGGUAAAUUGGGGAAGUUUUAGCAGAAAUCAUAUAGAUGGCAGCACACAUGAUCCAAGCACAAAAUCCUGUGAUUUCUGUUAGCCCGUGAGCACAGAUACACUCUGGCAGGUGGAAGAGAAGAAAGCAAUUCUCACAGAGGGCAGGCAAAACAGCCACAAUUAAAAGCAAAGUAAAUUUGUGUGGUGUGGUUACUUGCUGGUUAACUCUGGAGACGUUUAUGAGGAUCCAGCAUAACCCACAACAGACCUUCCUUGAGGAUUUGUGGAUUAAGCCACACCAACACAAACAUGGGAUGGCACUGCAGGGGUGUCUCUGAAUGUGCAGCAGGAGGUACUGAAGACCCCAAAAGAGCUCCCACAAUAUUUCUCUCAAACAGCUGCUUUUCUCACCAAAUGUUCCAUCCAGAUGCAUGGUUGUGUUUUGGUGAACAUCUGGAACAGCAGAAAGAAUUAGAGGAGGAAAGGAUCUAUUGGGUUAUGCAUUCCCUGGAGCUGGAGUGAGUAAAUUUGAUACUGAAUUUCUCUCAGGGUAUGGUUCACCCCAGUUUUAAUUUGUCAGCACUGUCCUUGCCUUCUCAUCCUAUAUCCCAUGCACAGGAUGGUACCAGAGCCAGGAUUUUGUUGGAUGGGAGGCAAAUUGAGUCUUUUUCUGGCCUCAUGCUCUAUGAAGUACUCUUCUCUCUCACUUAGGCUGGUGUUGAUUUGGGAAUUUAGCUUUUCUGCCCUCUAAAGGGAUCAGCAGACAAGUUAGUAGAUUAUAUUCCCAAGAAAAAAAUCCCACCUUUUUUCUCACUUGAAAACUUUCAUGUUUUUUACCUUUUACUGGUUUCUCUUAGAGGUUUGGGGGUUGGAUUUUGCACAUCCUUUUUUUUUUUUUUUUUAUGGUAUUUAUUUUGCUAUUCCUAUCAUGAACCCUCACCCACUUCAUGCAGCCACUUCCUCACUUCAGGUUCUUGCUGUUCCCCUCUCCCUCCCUGCUCAGAUCCAUUUUGGCUGUGCUUUUCCUCCACUAACUCUGUCCCAGACAGGUAAUUCUCCCAGUUUCUGCUGAAUCUUCAGCUCCAAUAUUCCACAUUUUACUUUAGAAUAAGGAUCUGAAGCCUGUAUUAUUAGUUUAAAUGCUUUUUUGUGUUCUGAACCUCACCUGGGCUUAUUCUGUUUGUUUGUGCCGCUGUGCCAGUGGCAGGGGAGCUGGUUUGGUGGCUGUGGCUGGGGACAGCAGCUGUGACAUGAAAGGACUUCGUGACAUGAGAGGACUCCCUGGGUCCUGCCUCAGUUUCUCCAUUCUGCACAGCACCAGUGGGCACUGGGAGAUCAAAAUCUCGUGGUGGCUGUGGGGCACCUCAAGGGUUGCAGGGCAGAGGAGGAGGAGGAGAAGUACAAAUAAAACAGCUCAGAGCUCUCUCUUGCCUCCAGUUCCCCUUUCCUUCCCUUCCACAGAAGUGGGUGAGUGCAGAGCUGAGCUGCCCUGGCAGAGGAAAGAGAAGAAAGGUUUUUCUUUCACUUUCCAAACACAAACACUUCACGUGGGUCGGAAGAAGGGAACAUCCCUCUGCUCCUCUCCUCAGCUGGGCUUUCUGCUCCCACUGUCCCCCAACAGUGGUGAUGUCCCUCGGUGGGUCCCCCAUGGGCACCUGAGUUGUGAUCUGUGGUUUGGGUGUCUGAGGUGGUUUGUUCUCCAGUCAUGAGGGUGAGGUUUCAUUUGGGGAAGCACAUCUUUUCUUAGAAAUGUGAGCACUGUGACUGACUUAGCACAACUGUGAUUUUCUGCAAACACAACUGUGUUUGGGGUGGUUGCAUGCGAAUGCUGGGGAAGGAGAAACAGUAAUUCUGAAUUAAUGCACAAAGGGAGAAAAUAGACUCCCUUAGAGGAAGCCCUGAGUUCACUGCAGCUGCCACACGCUGGCAAAACUGAUGCUGUGUCCCACAGGAAACAUUUCAGUGUGGAGAACCUCCUGUUUGAAGAGAUCAUACCUGUGCUGUUGUGACACAUGAGUGAGCCAAAGUGCUUGGGGGAACACAUCAAUCCAUUCUUUCUUUAGUAACAUGUAUGAAAUAAAUUGGGUUUUUCUCCCCCUGGUGUUGCAUCAUUUCCUAUUUGGUGUCCAGAUGGUGACAGAUUACCAAACAGGGGGAAAAAAAAUCCAUGUAAUAUUUUGUAUCUAAACAUUACCUUCUUCUUUGAAAUAAGGAGAUCCAGUUUUAUUCUGGCCACGAUUCUCUACAUUUAUGUGCUGGCCCUUGUCUGCAUCUGCUUGGCAUUAUCCUGGAUUGGGGCUUUAACCUACUAUGAAUCCAAAGAAAUUAUAUGGAAUUGAUGGGAUCAGUGUGAAUUUCCAGGGGUGUAGGCUAGUGCAGACUCCAUCCUAUUAAUCUUGUUGUGUUCUUUCUGUAAAUAACAAGCUGGAUUCAGCCCAACAAGAGUGAAACAAAUUGGAAGCAUUCAUAAAGAGAAGUAAAUGGCUUUAAGAUGUAAGAAUAAUGUAUUGGUGGGUUGUCUCCAAGAAUGCAGUUUUUAAAGGUACCAAAGCACACACAAAACUUUAGUUUAAUGUGUUCUUAAGUGGCUGCUGUGUGGGGCUGGCUGCUGAAGCAGGGCCAUGGGCAUAAGACCUGCUUUCAUGAAGGGAUUAUAUAAAAAAGGAAAAACUGCAAGAAGGAGAAAAAUGUUCAAGGGCAGCCAACCUGGAGGAAACAAAUAUAAUUUAGUUGUGCGAAGUGUUUAUAAAUGCAGUUUAUGAACAUGUAUGAAGGAGUAAUUUUUUAUUUUUCAGACUGCAACUGUAACACAGAAAAUAAACAAUUGCUUAUUUGUCCUUUUCAGGGACUUUUAGAGAAUACUUUGCAGUUUGGCUACAUAUUUUGACCUGCUUUUUCCUGUUUAAUAGCUUGUUAUUCUGUUGAUUAUUUCAGAUUAGCUUUUUGUACGUGCUCUUCUUUAUUUGUGAUUGAUAGGGAAACAUUUACAUGUUUUAAAAAACAAAUUACAUGGUUUAUCUGAAAGUGGAAAUUGAUUUUAAAUUUUGUUCAAAGUUUCAGAUUUCUACAUGCGUGGGCUACCAAAUUUGAUCUAUCAGUCUCACUCCUUGGUUCUCUUGCAUCAUCAGAAUAAAUGUGAGAUGACACAGAAUGCCUGGAAUUGCAAUAAUGCAGUGUAACAGAACUGACUAUCAAGCUUCAUAUAUAGAUUAGAUUAAUGCAUAAAUCUAAUUUGAUAUUUUACAUUACAGAGCUAAUAUUUUACAGAUGUAAUGCCAAGUUGUUAAGUAAAUGAAAAUCACGGAGAGUCCAAUUCUGAAAGGAUUACUCAGGCAAAAAUCCCUGCAGUCAGAGGGAGUAUUGCCUGAACGAAGUCUGCAAAAUUAGAACUAGAGCCAUAUUCCCCAAACAGACAAGCAGAUUUAUCUGUGAGAUCUGCCCAGGAGUUGAAUUCUUGUAACAAUGAAAGAUAUAUAGGGAAAACGAGCAAGUAGGUAACCUGAAAUAUAAGGAGAGACUGAUAAGAUCUGAGCAAGCACUUGUGUGGUUGGUGAUGUCAACAGGAGCCCAAGUUGUUUUAAUAAACUUGUUCAUAGUUGUCCUAUAGUGUGUUUUAUAUACUGAAGUACAUAGAUCACGUAAGAGUUUAACAAGAAGAGGA